AAGACUUUCGGCAACGGAUAUCUUGGCUCUCGCAUCGAUGAAGAACGUAGAGAAAUGCGAUACUUGGUGUGAAUUGCAGAAUCCCGUGAACCAUGGAGUCUUUGAACGCAAGUUGCGCCCGAGGCUAUCCGGCCGAGGGCACGCCUCCCUGGGCGUCACGCC
rnacentral:rRNA from 1 species